UGUGCCCUUCAUGAGUGUUCUGAUGUACAGAGGUUUUGAGCUUUGGGUUCAACGUUGGAUUGAAGUUUUGAUAUGAAUAUUUCUAGGUUACCAAGGGCUAGUUUGCACAUGCCUAUUCAUGACUGCAGUAUGAGAUCAUGACUUCCACAAGUUACUGAACCAUCACAGAUGCAGCACCUCAUAUCACUUCAGAUUUCCAGCUGAGUUGGUUCACUCCUUCAUCUGUGGAUAAUCAAAUACUGAAUAGUCAAUGAAGAGCAAUACAGAGAUGCAUUUGCAUAUAUGGACCAGUCUUAUCCACAUUGAUGCUGCAUAUCCAGAGCUCUAAAGAGCAUGCAUUAGCCACAUGCCUGCUUCCAAAGCUCAAGCACUGAGCAGGCAUAUGAGCUAUAUGAGCAUAUACUUGUUGCACAUAUGCUUUUGGGGGCUCCAUGUGUGCAGUGAUAGUGUGGAUGUUGGCCAGUAUAUAUAUGUAUAUAAAAUAGAUUCCUGAUUAUUUUCUAUUAGAAAACUGCUCCAGUAGUUUGGUACAGCCAAGUAACUGUAAUGCUAAAUUUCAUAUUCUGGCCAGUUUGUAUGUGAUUGACUCUAGAUAGAAUAUAAGUAAGUGUGUGUGUGUGUGUGUGUGUGUACACAUAAACACAGAGAGACUCUCUUGUGCAGCACCAUUGGUGUGUGUUAAAGCCUACACACACAGUCUCAAUGAUUCAGAACUACCCAUGUUAUAUUGCAGGGCUUGUCAAGCAGUAUUAGUGGGAGCUGAUCCUUAUGGCUGUACACAGAGCCUCUUGGAUGUAAAUAUUUUCUGAGAUGUAUUAUCUUUGGCUUUGUUUCCUGAAAGAUACAUUCCACAUUGGCAAAUGACGUGGAUUGGAACCAGUCCAAGACAAUUGAAUACAUAAUUUUGGAGUGGGUCCUAGGACAAAAGAUGGACAAACUAUUUAUGACAAGCAAAAUGAGUUCUGCCUUUAUUAAAAUACUUUCAAUGUAGUGGCUCAGUUUUCCCAGUUCAGAUAGAGCAGAUGGCUUAUCUUGUAUUUACUCUCUAUCACCAUUCUAAAUUCACAUAUGGUGCAUGUGUUCUGUCAGGCAAUGCCCAAGGAGCAGAGCACAUCUGUCAUCAAGAUUUUUAAAUUCAAGCAAAGGUGAGUCAAUGAAUAUACAUUAUAUAUAAUAACCAAGUUAAACAUCCCUAUGAAAGUAAGCUGCCCUGAGAUUUUAUAUAGGAUGGUAUAUAGAUGUGGCAAAUACAUAAUACAUAUAUACAUAUAGCCAUGGGAUUAAUAUUUAGAGCCCUGUGUAUAUGCUUGUUUACUUCUGAGAAUGCAGAGGUCAUUUGCCCUAUUAUAUAGAGAUAACAAUAUUGCUACCACAGUCAUUUACCAGGAAAAUGUUCUUCCCCACACCCCACAAUACAUAGACAGACCAUUACCUGUUCAGUGUUCAGUCAUGAACAUUUUCUCACCUUUUUAAUCAGCAAUGAAAUAAAAUAUUUUCAGUCUGUGAAAAAUACAUGCCUAUAAUUAUGGGAAACUUCAAGCCUGAUCUUCAAGACAAGACGCCAGCCAAAACCUUAUUGAGAGAAACUUCUUUGUUUAUCAUAUUUAUAUACUGCCUGAUUUUUUAUUUAUGUAGCAGAUUAUUUAACGCGGCCUUUGUCUCAAAGAAAACUCACAUGAGGGGAAGAAAAAUGCUGAAUCAUCCUCUCUCUUGCUUUCACCCUCAAAGGCUGUUCCCUUAACUUAAACUUUCCUCUUUCAUUAGUAGCUGAUUCACUGCCACCACACCCUAAUUUAUUACAAUUUGUCCCCCCCUGGAUUUGGGUGAAUGUCCAAGGAGACUCUCCUUCUCUUUACUAUUGGAAAAGUACACAAAAACCUCCAUGUGCAAGCCUACACAUGAUGAGAAAUCCUGGUAGAGUUGCUGAGCAAUCAAAUUGAGGCAUGUGUUGCACCAGAGACAAAAACCCAAUAGAGCCCCGCCCCUGUCCUGAGUUAAAAAAUCCACUCCAGGAGGCUGGUUAAAAUUGUAAAGGACAAAAAUGAAAAUAAACUUCAUUUAAAAUACUACAGACUGCUUCCAUCUGAGGCUUUCUCAGCUUUUAGUUACAGGUAAAAGGAACACUCAGUAACUACAAGAAUACUUCAAGGAGCACCCUCAGAUUACAUUGGGGUAGCACACUUGGUUAACCAGUUGCAAAGAACAUAGAUGUAAGAAAAUACAAAAAGCCCCCUUUAAGAGUUUACAGAGACUUUUGCAACGCUGUGCUGGAAUGGCGCUGGCUCAGUUUCUCUUAACUUGUUACGUUACAGAUAACAAACAAUAAAACAGUUUAAGGAUUAGCAAAGCACACCAAAGGAAAAUAAGAAGUCUAAUAUGAGCUAACUAACAAACUGUUCCCUGGCUAAACCCUUCCCCAAAGCAAAAGCCCUGACUUCCUUCCUGAACUCACCAAAUCCAUGGUAGAGACUUCAGGCCCCUGCCGUCCUAACUUUCCAGGAUUGCAGUCCUCCUGGUUGCAACUAUGUGCCUGACCAGCCAACCUGUUGUUAGCCCUGCCUGACUCCAACUAAACAAAGAAACCCUUCUCUUCCUGCUGCAACACUAGGUCCCGCCUAACAUGUGCUGAGUGGCUGAUCCCUAGAGGUCACUGCCUGUCAGUCAAGGCAGGGUUCACUUCUGGUUCACUCUUCAUUAUUUAUUUAUUUGAUUUCUAUACUGCCCUUCCAAAAAUGGCUCAGGGCGGUUUACACAGAGAAAUAGCAAAUAAAUAAGAUGGCUCCCUGUCCCCAAAGGGCUCACAAUUUUUAAAAGGAACAUAAGAUAGACACCAGCAACAGUCACUAGAGGUACUGUUCUGGGGGUGGAUAGGGCCAGUUACACUCCCCCUGCUCAAUAAAGAGAAUCACCACAUUAAAAAGGUGCCUCUUUACCCAGUUAGCAGGGGUUGCCCA